AGACCUUACCUGGCCUUGACAUGUAGAGAAUUUUCCAGAGAUGGAUUAGUGCUCGAAAGAGAACCGUAACACAGGUGCUGCAUGGCUGUCGUCAGCUCGUGUCGUGAGAUGUUGGGUUAAGUCCCGCAACGAGCGCAACCCUUGUCAUUAAUUGCCAUCAUUUAGUUGGGCACUUUAAUGAGACUGCCGGUGACAAACCGGAGGAAGGUGGGGAUGACGUCAAGUCCUCAUGGCCCUUAUGGGUAGGGCUACACACGUCAUACAAUGGCCGGUACAGAGGGUCGCCAACCCGCGAGGUGGAGCCAAUCCCAGAAAGCCGAUCGUAGUCCGGAUUGAAGUCUGCAACUCGACUCCAUGAAGUCGGAAUCGCUAGUAAU
rnacentral:rRNA from 1 species